UGAAUACGAGAUGCUACGGCGUCGAAGCAGUGUAUGUCAGACUUCCAAGAAAAGCUCGCAAUGUCAUAAAUAAAGAAUGCCUGUACCAUAACCGACACAGGUGGGUAGGUAGAGUAUACUAAGGGGCGCGAGAUAACUCUCUCUAAGGAACUCGGCAAAAUAACUCCGUAACUUCGGGAGAAGGAGUGCCUUCUAUUAGAAGGUUGCAAUAACAAGAUCCAAGCAACUGUUUAUCAAAAACACAGGUCUCCGCUAAGUCGUAAGACGAUGUAUGGGGGCUGACGCCUGCCCAGUGCCAGAAGGUUAAAGAAGCUGGUUAGCUUUGGCGAAGCUGAUGACUGAAGCCCUGGUGAACGGCGGCCGUAACUAUAACGGUCCUAAGGUAGCGAAAUUCCUUGUCGGGUAAGUUUCGACCCGCACGAAAGGCGUAAUGAUUUGGAUACUGUCUCGGAGAGGGACUCGGUGAAAUAGACUUGUCUGUGAAGAUGCGGACUACCUGCACCAGGACAGAAAGACCCUAUGAAGCCUUACUGUAACUUGAAAUUGAAAUUGGACUUUAUUUGCGCAGCAUAGGUGGAAGGCGUUGAGAUUACUCUUGCGGGAGUACUGGAGCCAUCAGUGAGAUACCACUCCUAUAAUGUUAGAUUUCUAACUUUGGAUCAUGAUCUGGUCAAAGAACAGUUUCAGGCGGGCAGUUUGACUGGGGCGGUCGCCUCCCAUAUGGUAACGGAGGCGUACAAAGGUUUCCUCUGAACGGGUAGAAAUCGUAUCUAGAGUGUAAAGGCAUAAGGAAGCUUGACUGUGAGACCUACGAGUCGAGCAGGGACGAAAGUCGGUCUUAGUGAUCUGACGGUGCUGAGUGGAAAGGCCGUCACUCAACGGAUAAAAGUUACUCUAGGAUAACAGGCUGAUCUCCCCCAAGAGUUCACAUCGACGGGGAGGUUUGGCACCUCGAUGUCGGCUCAUCGCAUCCUGGGGCGGUAGUACGUCCCAAGGGUUGGGCUGUUCGCCCAUGAAAGCGGUACGCGAGCUGGGUUCAGAACGUCGUGAGACAGUUCGGUCCAUAUCCGGUGUAGGCGUUAGAAUAUUGAGAGGAGCCUUCUUUAGUACGAGAGGACCGAGAAGGACAUACCUCUGGUGUACCAGCUAUCGUGCCAACGGUAAACGCUGGGUAGCUAUGUAUGGAGAGGAUAACCGCUGAAAGCAUCUAAGUGGGAAGCCCACCUCAAGAUGAGUAUUCU
rnacentral:rRNA from 1 species